rnacentral:rRNA from 2 species
AAAUUGAAGAGUUUGAUCAUGGCUCAGAUUGAACGCUGGCGGCAGGCCUAACACAUGCAAGUCGAACGGUAACAGGAAGAAGCUUGCUUCUUUGCUGACGAGUGGCGGACGGGUGAGUAAUGUCUGGGAAACUGCCUGAUGGAGGGGGAUAACUACUGGAAACGGUAGCUAAUACCGCAUAACGUCGCAAGACCAAAGAGGGGGACCUUCGGGCCUCUUGCCAUCGGAUGUGCCCAGAUGGGAUUAGCUAGUAGGUGGGGUAA